UUUAUGACCUGUACCUUGUGAUAUCAACCCUGCCAACCUCCUGUCUCAUCCUGAGACUAAGAAUGCCUAAACUCCCGGGAACGCAGCUCAGUAGGUCUCACCUUGUUUCAUCCAGCCCCUAUUCAAGAUGGAGUUACUCUGGUUCAAACGCCUCUGACAGAGGUGAAAUGUCCAGCUGUUAAGUGAAUUGGUAUGGUAUGGUGGCUAGUUCCAAAUGAAAUGGCUAAGCUUCACCCCUUUGAACACUCAACUUCUCAGGUAUUUGUGCCUUCCGUUUUUUGUUGUUAUCUUA
rnacentral:lncRNA from 10 species